AAUAGGAAAAUGGGAUUUACAUUUUCCUGGAUGGCCGACAUUGCUGGAACAUUGUUAUGAAAUACCGUGGACUGGCCCUCUGUGUCCUUUCAAAAAUUUACUCCUGGGCAGCAUUGAUGGUGUGGUGGUCUGUGCUGUGCUCAUCUCCAAUCCACAAUCCUCCGACCUCUCUUUCCAUUCUCAAUCAACCUGGGAGGCCACCUACUGAAGAUGGCAGCAUCUCAGGACGGAAGAAGCUGGAUCCUCCAGCCAACAUUUGUGCAACCGCAUGGAAUAUUCCUCACCCUCCCAGAGCUGGGCACAGAGGCUGAUACAUGGAAGGUGGGCAGGAAAUGUUCCAUUAAUGAAGAAUGACAUGUGAGGACCCCAGAGGAGAGCCUCUGACAAGAGUCACAACUCCUGGCUUGAGGUCAGUUUCCCUCCGAUGUCAUUGUACAAAAUCACAGAAUUU